CUAGUCCAUAGUUGAUCUCAAUAUGUCUAACGUUUUCAACUAUCAGCCCUUUCCAUGCCAUUAUACAUUUGAUUGCAGUUGAUCCUUACUGAAAACUUCAGUAAAUAUUUAUUAACUGCAGUUGGAGAGACAAUAAUUGGAGAUGCCACCAAGAUUGAUAAUCUUGUUCAGAUAGGUCACAAUGUGGUAAUUGGAAAGUGCUGUAUGAUUUGCGGACAAGUUGGGAUUGCUGGUUCUGCAACGUUGGGGGACUAUGUCACGUUAGGUGGUCGGGUGGCAAUCCGGGAUCAUGUCUCCAUUGCUUCUAAGAUGCGGUUU